rnacentral:rRNA from 1 species
UUAUUGUUGUUAUUUAAAUAAAAUAUUCUUAUUUUUAUUAUUGUUAAAGAAAAAAAUAGAUUUAUAAUAGUGAAUUAGUAUAGUGAUAUAAAUUUUAAACAUUUGAAAGGUUAAAUUUUUAAAAGAAGAGUUAAUAUUUUGUACCUUGGGUAUCAGGGUUUAUUAAAUAGAUAUUAAAAAUAUAAUUUUCUCGAUUUUAAAAGAGUUAAGGGAUUAUAGAUUUUAUUGUAAAAUAAAUAUUUAAAAUAGUUCUUUAGUAAUGAAACGUUAGUCGUUUUUAAAUAUAUCUAGUUUUUGAAGAAAAAAAUUUAAUUUUAUAUUUUAAAUACAAAUUAUUAAUUGUUUAGUAAUUUUUUUUAAAAUUUAAAUAUCUUAGGGGAUAAGCUUUAAGGUAAAUUUUUAUAAUUUUAUUAUUUUAAAGAAAGCUGUAGGGUUAGAAAUUUCCAUCAAUUUAGUUUGUUAUAAUUAAUUUUUCUUUGAAUAUGAUUUUUAUUUGAUUUAUAUUUUUAUUCAAAUUAACUAUUUAAUUAUAAAUUAGUUGUAAUUAUGAUGAAAUUAGUAUAAUCUUAGUUUAAUAUUAUUUAUUUUAUUUAAGGUAAUAUAAAGGAAUUCGGCAAAUUAUUUCUCGCCUGUUUAUUAAAAACAUGUCUUUUUGAUUUUAAUUUAAAGUCUAACCUGCCCAUUGAGGUUUUAAAGGCCGCGGUAUUUUGACCGUGCGAAGGUAGCAAAAUAAUUAGUUUUUUAAUUGAAAGCUGGAAUGAAUGGUUGAACGAGGAAAUAGCUGUCUCUAUUUUAAUAAAUUAGAAUUUUAUCUUUAAGUUAAAAAGCUUAAAUAUAUUUGAAAGACGAGAAGACCCUAUAGAGUUUUAUAAAUUAAUUUAUUUAAGAUUUUUAGUAUUUUAUGUUUUAAUUAUUUUUGUUUAUUUUAUUGGGGUGAUGGAAAAAUUUAAUAAACUUUUUUUUUAUUGAAUCAUUUAUAAAUGAAUUUUUGAUCCAUUAUUAUGAUUAUAAGAUUAAAUUACCUUAGGGAUAACAGCGUAAUUUCUUUAAAGAGUUCAAAUCGAAAAAGAAGUUUGCGACCUCGAUGUUGGAUUAAAAUUAAUUUUUGGUGUAGAAGCUAAAAAUUUUAGGUCUGUUCGACCUUUGAAAUUUUACAUGAUCUGAGUUUAGACCGGCGUGAGCCAGGUUGGUUUCUAUCUUUAAAUUUUUAUAAUAUUUUAGUACGAAAGGACCAAGUAUU